GAUGAAGAACGUAGCGAAAUGCGAUACUUGGUGUGAAUUGCAGAAUCCCGUGAACCAUCGAGUCUUUGAACGCAAGUUGCGCCCGAAGCCAUUAGGCCGAGGGCACGCCUGCCUGGGCGUCACACGUCGUUGCCCCCCCAUCUACUCCUUCGGGAUUGCGGGGGGCGGAUGAUGGCCUCCCGUGCGCCUCGUCGCGCGGUUGGCAUAAAUGCCAAGUCCUCGGCGACGCACGUCACGACAAUCGGUGGUUGCGAAACCUCGGUUGCCCGUCGUGUGCGGUCGUCGCGCAUCGAGGGCUCGAAAAAAUUGCCGGGCUCCGGCUCGGCUUUCAACGCGACCCCAGGUCAGGCGGGGUUACCCGCUGAAUUUAAGCAUAUCAAUAAGCGGAGGA
rnacentral:misc_RNA from 1 species